AGGGUUUUGAUCCUGGCUCAGAUUGAACGCUGGCGGCAGGCCUAACACAUGCAAGUCGAGCGGAUGAAGGGAGCUUGCUCCUGGAUUCAGCGGCGGACGGGUGAGUAAUGCCUAGGAAUCUGCCUGGUAGUGGGGGAUAACGUCCGGAAACGGGCGCUAAUACCGCAUACGUCCUGAGGGAGAAAGUGGGGGAUCUUCGGACCUCACGCUAUCAGAUGAGCCUAGGUCGGAUUAGCUAGUUGGUGGGGUAAAGGCCUACCAAGGCGACGAUCCGUAACUGGUCUGAGAGGAUGAUCAGUCACACUGGAACUGAGACACGGUCCAGACUCCUACGGGAGGCAGCAGUGGGGAAUAUUGGACAAUGGGCGAAAGCCUGAUCCAGCCAUGCCGCGUGUGUGAAGAAGGUCUUCGGAUUGUAAAGCACUUUAAGUUGGGAGGAAGGGCAGUAAGUUAAUACCUUGCUGUUUUGACGUUACCAACAGAAUAAGCACCGGCUAACUUCGUGCCAGCAGCCGCGGUAAUACGAAGGGUGCAAGCGUUAAUCGGAAUUACUGGGCGUAAAGCGCGCGUAGGUGGUUCAGCAAGUUGGAUGUGAAAUCCCCGGGCUCAACCUGGGAACUGCAUCCAAAACUACUGAGCUAGAGUACGGUAGAGGGUGGUGGAAUUUCCUGUGUAGCGGUGAAAUGCGUAGAUAUAGGAAGGAACACCAGUGGCGAAGGCGACCACCUGGACUGAUACUGACACUGAGGUGCGAAAGCGUGGGGAGCAAACAGGAUUAGAUACCCUGGUAGUCCACGCCGUAAACGAUGUCGACUAGCCGUUGGGAUCCUUGAGAUCUUAGUGGCGCAGCUAACGCGAUAAGUCGACCGCCUGGGGAGUACGGCCGCAAGGUAAAACUCAAAGGAAUUGACGGG
rnacentral:rRNA from 1 species